rnacentral:sRNA from 1 species
GCCGGGCAUGGUGGCCCAUGCCUGUAGUCCAAGCUACUCAGGAGGCUGAGGCAGGAGGAUCACUUGAGCCUGGGAGGUCAAGGCUGCAGUGAGCUAUGAUUGUGCCACUGCACUCCAGCCUCGGCAACAGAGCAAAAGCCUGUCUCAA